UACGUAGGGGGCAAGCGUUGUCCGGAUUUACUGGGCGUAAAGAGCGCGUAGGCGGCCAUGCAGGUCCGUUGUGAAAACUGGAGGCUUAACCUCCAGACGUCGACGGAAACCGCGUGGCUAGAGUCCGGAAGAGGAGAGUGGAAUUCCUGGUGUAGCGGUGAAAUGCGCAGAUAUCAGGAAGAACACCAAUGGCGAAGGCAGCUCUCUGGGACGGUACUGACGCUGAGACGCGAAAGCGUGGGGAGCGAACAGG
rnacentral:rRNA from 1 species